rnacentral:lncRNA from 1 species
CGGGCUCCAUCUCUUUUAUAUACCAGGCAGUGUAUCCCGGCGCAACCUCACCUUUAGAUAUGUCGCGUACUCGAGUAUCUGCUGUCAAGUAUUGACAUUCACUCCAGAGUUGGCACGCAAUGGCUUCAGGGAAUUGACCAUUGGAGCUAAUCUCAACCGCAUGGUGACUAAUGUCCUCGUCCUGGGGAAUCAUUUGGCAUCUACCCAAUUGCCUUAACACUUGGCAUGGCGCAUAGGGUUGGAUACUUCGGAGACCCAUCAGAAGGAAAUGAGGCCUGGUGGUUGGCAUAUACACAAUUUC